AGGAGUAUAGCUUAGUGGUAGAGCACAUGUUUGGCAUGCACAAAGUCCUGGGUUAAUCCCCAGUGCUUCUG
rnacentral:tRNA from 1 species